rnacentral:rRNA from 1 species
UACAGGGGGUUCAAUCGUUGCUCGGAAUCAUUGGGCGUAAAGGGCACGUAGGCGGUUCGUUAUGUCGGAUGUGAAAGCCCUUGGCUUAACCGAGGAAGUGCAUCCGAAACUGGCGAGCUAGAGUACGAAAGAGGAUCGCGGAAUUCCCGGUGUAGAGGUGAAAUUCGUAGAUAUCGGGAGGAACACCGGUGGCGAAGGCGGCGAUCUGGGUCGAAACGGACGCUGAGGUGCGAAAGCGUGGGGAGCAAACAGG